UGCCAGCCGCCGCGGUAACACGGGGGGCGCAAGCGUUAUUCGGAAUUAUUGGGCGUAAAGGGCGCGUAGGCGGUCUUGUCGGUCAGAUGUGAAAGCCCAGGGCUCAACCCUGGACGUGCAUUUGAAACAGCAAGACUUGAAUACUGGAGAGGAAAGCGGAAUUCCUGGUGUAGAGGUGAAAUUCGUAGAUAUCAGGAGGAACACCGAUGGCGAAGGCAGCUUUCUGGACAGAUAUUGACGCUGAGGCGCGAAGGCGUGGGUAGCGAACGGGAUUAGAUA
rnacentral:rRNA from 1 species